rnacentral:pre_miRNA from 1 species
AGGAGGAACAACCGCAGUGGCGGGGCCAGCUCUGCAGCCCUGGAGUCAGCUCCCACAGUAACUCCGGAGCUCUCCGUCUGCAGGGCCUGGAGGCUCCGGGUGGGG